GUACUUUCGGACAAGCCUGGGAAACUGGGUCUAAUACCGAAUACACCCUGCUGGUUGCAUGACCUGGUGGGGGAAAGCUUUUGCGGUGUGGGAUGGGCCCGCGGCCUAUCAGCUUGUUGGUGAGGUUACGGCUCACCAAGGCGACGACGGGUAGCCGGCCUGAGAGGGUGACCGGCCACACUGGGACUGAGAUACGGCCCAGACUCCUACGGGAGGCAGCAGUGGGGAAUAUUGCACAAUGGGCGCAAGCCUGAUGCAGCGACGCCGCGUGGGGGAUGACGGCCUUCGGGUUGUAAACCUCUUUCAGUAGGGACGAAGCGCAAGUGACGGUACCUACAGAAGAAGGACCGGCCAACUACGUGCCAGCAGCCGCGGUAAUUCAAA
rnacentral:rRNA from 1 species